AAGCCAGCCAAUUGGUCUACUUAUCUGAAUUCGUUUCUAUGGACAUAAAAAGGUUGGCAGUGCUGAUGUCAUGUUACCAGCCUUAAGGGCAAGUCUUUUAGGUCCUAAAUAUUGCAAUGUUG
rnacentral:snoRNA from 1 species